ensembl:lncRNA
GAGCAGACAGAGACAAACACACUAAAACCACCAUCUAUCUAUCUAUCUAUCUAUCUAUCUAUCUAUCUAUCUAUCUAUCUAUCUAUCUAUCUAUCUAUCUAUCUAUCAUCUAUCUAUCUAUCUAUCUAUCUAUCUAUCUAUCUAUCUAUCUAUCUAUGUGUAUGUUACUGUUAUGAAAAAAAAGUUUGAUUUUAAUACAUUAAUAAUAUUACAGUAUUAAUAUGUGUGUUUGUGUGUGUGUGUGUAUAUAUAUAUAAAAUAUGUAAAUUCAGCUAUUAUUUUGUUUUAGUAUGUAAACUUCUGUAAUGUGAAAUAGCUUAUUGAGGAUUUUUUCAUUCACCAGUAACAGACCAGUAUUGCUGAGCUCAACCCUUGUGGUGUCUGUAUCAGCAGUGCAUGUUUAAUCUCAGUUUGUAGUGUCAUGCGCUGCAGCUGCAGCUCUGUUCGUAUGCUCUUUUGUAGUUAAAUGAGCUCCCGUCCCGCGGGGCUCGUCAGACACAACUGUGCCCUUUGACCUGCGCUCAGGUGUCCGGGGCAACAACAAGUGUUUCACAGCCUGACCCGUGUCUGAAUGGAGCGCGUGGAGAGUCUCAGAUCAGCAGUGCUUUCGUGCGCUGCUCGUUUCGGCCAGCGGUGGGCAGCACUGCACUGAUCUGGAGAGACAGAGCCGGACCUGUGACCCUGACACCUGCACAGGGUCUCCUGCAGCAGAUCAGUGCAGCUGUGUCCAUCAGGGCUCAGACAGACGUGUGGCCGUCACUGUCCCGCAGGGGGCGCUGCUGACCGCGGAGACACUGAUGCUCUUCACACUGAGAUCUCUGUCUUGCGGCUCUCUGCAGUGUGAUUUACGCGAAUGUAAAGUGAUGGUCAGCGAGUGGUCAGAAUGGACCUCCUGCUCUCCGUGUAUCCCAGCAUCCUCCGGCAGGUCUGGUGUCGGUCCACACAUCAACCAACACCAUCAACAAAACUACUCCAAGACUGUAUAGAUAUACAGGAUAGAAAGACAUCUGUCCUAUGACUGAACUCGGCUCAUGAAUAUUAAUUAGUUGAUAUGAAACAAGGACUUUAACAUUAAACUAAAACUAUUACAAACAUUUUUUGUUAAUUGAAACUAAACAGAAAUGAAAAAAAAAAAAUUGAUUUGCCUUGGCAACUAUCUGAAAAAAGUUCUAAACUACUUGAGUAUCUAACUGGAAAAAAAUUAAAAUAAUAACUAAAUGUAAACUAAAACUAAAAAAAAAAAAAAUUAAUAGUAGUGUUUAAAAAAAAUUAUAAUAAAAAAACAAAUAACAGAAUAACUCA